UACGUAGGGACCAAGCGUUGUUCGGAUUUAUUGGGCGUAAAGAGCUCGUAGGCGGCUUGUUGCGUCGACUGUGAAAACCCGCGGCUUAACUGCGGGCUUGCAGUUGAUACGGGCAGGCUAGAGUUCGGUAGGGGAGUGGGGAAUUCCUGGUGUAGCGGUGAAAUGCGCAGAUAUCAGGAGGAACACCGGUGGCGAAGGCGCCACUCUGGGCCGAAACUGACGCUGAGGAGCGAAAGCGUGGGUAGCAAACAGG
rnacentral:rRNA from 1 species